rnacentral:rRNA from 1 species
GUCGGGAAUAUUGGACAAUGGGCGCAAGCCUGAUCCAGCAACUCCGCGUGAGGGAUGAAGGCCUUCGGGUCGUAAACCUCUGUCAGAAGGGAAGAAAUCCUCGAUUCGAACAGGAUCGAGUGCUGACGGUACCUUCAAAGGAAGCACCGGCUAACUCCGUGCCAGCAGCCGCGGUAAUACGGAGGGUGCAAGCGUUGUUCGGAAUUACUGGGCGUAAAGCGGGUGUAGGCGGCCGCACAAGUCAGAUGUGAAAUCCCUGGGCCCAACCCAGGAACUGCAUUUGAUACUGCGCGGCUCGAGUCCCGGAGAGGAUGGCGGAAUUCCAGGUGUAGAGGUGAAAUUCGUAGAUAUCUGGAGGAACACCAGCGGCGAAGGCGGCCAUCUGGACGGUGACUGACGCUCAGACCCGAAAGCGUGGGGAGCAAACAGGAUUAGAAACCCGGGUAGUCC